AUGGCAGAGUUGGACGUCGGUCAACACUGCCAGAUGGAGCACUGUCGGCAGCGAGAUUUUCUUCCAUUUAUUUGUGAUGGUUGUUCAGGAAUAUUUUGCCUUGAACACAGAAGCAAGGAGUCUCAUGGUUGUCCUGAGGUGACUGUAAUCAAUGAAAAACUGAAGACAGAUAAUCAUAAAUCUUACCCAUGCUCAUUCAAGGAUUGUGCUGAAAAAGAACUUGUGGCAGUUCUAUGUCCUUAUUGUGAGAAAAACUUUUGCCUAAGACACCGUCAUCAGUCAGAUCAUGAGUGUGAAAAAUUGGAAAUCCCAAAGCCUCGUAUUCUGCCACUCAGAAACUUGUUAAAGAUAUUAUUGAUUCCAAGACAGGAGAGACAACAAGUAAACGACGGAAAGGUGCCAAAAAUAGUCAAACAGCAGCAAAGGUUGCAUUGAUGAAAUUAAAGAUGCAUGCUGAUGGGGAUAAGUCAUUGCCUCAGACAGAAAGAAUUUAUUUUCAGGUUUUCUUGCCUAAGGGCAGCAAAGAGAAGAGCAAAGCAAUGUUCUUUUGCUACGGAUGGAGCAUUGGAAGGGUCAUAGACUCUGCAGCCUCUCUCGCCAAUCUCAAAAAUGACAAUAACAAAUUAACAGCUAAGAAAUUGAGGUUAUGUCACAAUACUUCAGGAGAAGCCUUACCCUUGGAUCAAACUUUGGAAACCUGGAUUGCUAAGGAGGAUUGUCCCUUAUAUAAUGGCGGAACUAUUAUCUUGGAAUAUCUUAAUGAUGAAGAACAAUUUUUGAAAGACGUUGAUUCUUACUUAGAGUAGUUGUUCAGUGAUUCAAGCCAGAAAUGAGAAGGCAACUUACACAUACAUUUUAAGUGAAUAUCUUGUUAUAUAAAUACUAUUAUUUUUAAAAGUUGUGUUUUAGCUUAUUUCCAUUUUGUUACUUUUUACAUUAUCAGUUUUCUAUUAAAUUUGACUUUUUGUGUUUUAAAGUUUUAACUAUCAACUGAAAUUCAAUUAUUAGCGCAUUCUUCUAUUUAAUUAGCUUUCACUAGGUUAUGCUGUAGUAAUAAAAACAGAAGUGUAUUUCCUGAUGGAUUAAUGUCAGCAGUUGAUUGGCUGUUGUACUGUUCCAUAUCAUCUUCAUUUCAGGAUCCCAGGAUUGAAGCUGAAGGAACAAUCCCUUUGGGGGACUUUGCUAUUCUUACGGAAGAGGGAGAAGACAUGAUAGAAAUUUCAGCCCUGAGAUACAUGAAUUAUUUUUACUUUAAGCAAAUAAUAUGGCCAAGCCUGCCAUCACAGAGACAAAGUGUGGUUUACUAUCUACUUAAAAUAUGAUUUAUCAGUUGUUGUGUGUACAUGAAUUAUAGAAAUUUAAAGAUUAUCUCAUUCAGUCUUCUAAAAUAUUAACGAAGAAUGUCAGGCUUAGGAAGGGAAAAUGUUUUUCUAAGUGUCAUCUAUCUUUCUGCAUUGGACAUAUUUCUGACCAAAGACUUCCUGUAAUAAGAUUCAUCUUUUUUGUUAGUGUGAGUGUAUUAUAAUUUUUUAAAAAAAUGGAUUAUUUCCACUUCAUUACCAUCUCUCUCUAUAUAUAUACCCAGACAAACACAUGCCAAAUUUUUACCAAUUCAAAUGAAUACUUCUAACUAAUGUCUUCCAUCUGUACCCAACAAAGUACUACUAUUCAGCAAGAAUAGAAAUUAGUUCUAUCUGUUCUUUUCCCCUUUUCUAUUAUAAAUGUCAUAGACAUGUGUAGUAGCUUCAGGUGUAGUUAAUAGAAUAAACUCAGAAUGCUUAUUUGGUCUAUUUUCUAAUCUUGAUAUUCUUUUUUUUUUUUAAUUUCUUAGUAUUUGUGUUAGUUUAAUCCAAAUUAUUUUUUUUAUUGUUAAAUCAUAGCUGUGUACAUUAGUGCAAUCAAGGGGUACAAUGUGCAGGUUUCAUAUACAAUCUGAAAUAUUCUCAUCAAACUGUUCAACAUACCCUUCAUGGCAUUUUCUUAGUUAUUAUAUGUAGACAUUUGUAUUCUGCCUUUAGUAAGUUUUGCCUGUACCCAUUCUAAGAUGCACCAUAGGUGUGCCCCACCCAUUACCCUCCCUCCAUCCUAAACUCCCCCCCUCCCUUCCCUUUCCUUCACCCGUUCCUCAUAGUCUUGUGCUGUAGUUGGGUUAUAGCCUUCAUGUGAAAGCUAUAAUUUAGCUUCAUAGCAGGGCUAAGUACAUUGGAUGCUUUCUUCCAUUCCUGAGAUACU